rnacentral:rRNA from 1 species
AAUGAACGCUGGCGGCGUGGUUAAGACAUGCAAGUCGAACGGUUUUUGUUGUGUAGCAAUACAUAACAAAAGCAGUGGCGAACGGGUGCGUAACACGUGAACAAUCUACCUCCAAGUGGGGAAUAGCUCUUCGAAAGAAGAGAUAAUACCGCAUCAGGUUGCCCUUCGCAUGAAGGGCAUACCAAGGUCAGGGACCGCAAGGCCUGACGCUCGGAGAGGAGUUCGCGGCCUAUCAGCUAGUUGGCGAGGUAACGGCUCACCAAGGCUAAGACGGGUAGCCGGUCUGAGAGGAUGGUCAGGCACACUGGAACUGAGACACGGUGCAGACACCUACGGGUAGCAGCAGUUUCUAAUCAUUCACAAUGGGCGAAAGCAUGAUGGUGCGACGCCGCGUGAGGGAUGAAGGUCUUCGGAUUGUAAACCUCUGUCACCGGGGAAGAAACGCUUCAAGUUAACAGCUUGAAGCCUGACUUAACCCGGAGAGGAAGCAGUGGCUAACUCUGUGCCAGCCGCCGCCGUAA